ensembl:lncRNA
CCGGGGCUUCAGAGCCGGGACCAGCAGUUCUGACCCAUGGGAACAGGGCGCACCUGAUCUCUGACCUCUGGCCACCAGCUGCACUGUCCCCACCUGCCCAAGCCAGGUUGUGGAGCUGAUGAUGGUACCGUCUCUGAGGCAAUUGGCCAGCACAGCCUCUAAAGGGGUCAGAGGGUGGAUGAUCGAGUUGCCCUGAGGGAGGGGGCACAGGGUCCAGCGGCAGCAGGAACCAGACAGUAGAGCCUGCGGGGGGGUCGGUCAGAGCCCCGGGGCAUGAGUUGAGCCUAUGAGUGCACUAGGUUGGGGCUGGAGGCAAAGAGAGGGACCAGACAGCACUGGGCCUGUUGUGGGAGUGGCGGGGAGUGGCACUGUCCCAUGGAGGAAAGGCACCUUGGACAAGGCAACACAUUCAGGGCUGCGACCUCAGGGAAGGGGGUGAAGUGGACAGCAAGGAGGCCCCAAGAGAGGUCUGCAGGCAACAGAUUCCUGGGGGCAGGGGAGCCCCCCCAAGAGUGACAAUCAGGUUUUCAUUUCAGAACAUGGGAAGGACUCUCUUCCUGUAAUGAGCAGCUCUGGGCAGGGGCCAUCGUUUGUGUCCUUUUCUUCCACUCUGAUCAGCAUUUCUUUCCUCUUUGAUGGUCUGCUCCGUGCAGUUCCCACUUGUCAACUGGCAGGUUCUCCUAGAUGGCAUGUCCCUCCCCGCUGCUUCCGUGUGGCAUGGGGAACCUCUGCAGGAGUUCUCACCAGUGCUGACUGUGGCGGGGGACACCUCCCCUCUGAAAGCAGUGUUCCAGGAGACGGGGUGGCAACUGCACUUAAUCUCAAUGGAAAUGAGAACAAUUUUGAUAGUUCCUAUAACUGGGAAAUAAUCCCAAUUCUAAGGAUACAGAGUAGAGUCUCUCUGACAGGACUGGAGAUCUUACCCAAAAGAAUGACAGGUUCAGGGCAGCCAGCCUCCAACUCAGACAUUCCCUGGAAGCCAGAGGGUGGGCUGUGGUAGGCAGAAUUCUAAGAAAGCCCCCAAGGUUUCCUGCCCUGGUGGACACACCCUGCAUAAUCCCAGGACUGUAAAUAGAAUGGAUUUUACUCCCAUGAUUAGGUAAUGUUCUCUGACAGCUGAGGUAUAAAGGGAGAUUAUCCUGGGUGAGCCUGACUUAAUUAGGUGAGCCCUUAAAAGGAUGGUCUCUUCCUGGUGGAAGACGCAAAGCAUGAAAGCAAUUCCAUGUACAGGCGAUUCUCCAUUGCUGGAGGGGGCCAUGUGGCAAGGAAUGUGGGUGGUCCCUAGGAGCUGACAUAUCAUAGUCAAAAUAUUGACAGACAAAGAGAAACCUCAAAAGUUACAAGAUAAAAAUGACUCAUCACACAUAAGAAAACCCAGUAAGAUCGACACCUAACUUUGUUUCAUCAGAAACAGUGGAGGCCACGACACAACGGGAUGACAUGCCCAACAUCAUUAAAAAACUCAGGCAGGGGCUGGCUGGUGGUGUAGUGCUUAAGUUCACACUCCACUGCAGCGGCCUGGGGUUCACAGGUCACUUAUGCACCGCUCAUCAAGCCAUGCUGUGGUGGCAUCCCACGUACAAAAAAAUAGAGAGAGAUUGCCACAGAUGUUAGCUCGGCAACAAUCUUCAAAACAACAGAUUGGCAACAGAUGUUAGCUCAGGGCCAGUCUUCCUCACAAAAAAAAAAAAAAAACCUCAGGCAGGAAGUCUAUAUUCUGGAAAAUUAUCUUUUGGUAAUUAAGGUGAAAUAAAGACAAUCCAAGAUAAAGACAGAGAAUUUGUUGCUAGCAGAUCUCCAGGUUACAAGAAAUACUAAAGAAAGUUCAUCAAGCUGAAAGGUAGUCACAUCAGAUAGUCAUUCAAGUCAAUUUCCCAAUGCAGCCAUCCUGUGCCCAGACUUCUGACUUAUAGGCUGUGAGUUAACAAACUGAUGUAGUUUAAGCCGCCAUGUUUGUGGGAACUUGUUACACAGCAAUAGAAGAUGAGUGCAGCCUCCUGUGUUGAAGGAAACCCAGGACCUGAUCAUAAAAGCAGAGGCAGUGCCUUGAGACCCAGCCUGGGAUCUUUGAGUGGAGACACUCGAAUCUUGCACCCCCAAACUCCCAUGAGCCCUUCUUCCUGGCAGAAGCAGCCCCAUCUCCCUCGCUGGAGGAGCCUGGCAGUGGCCUCAUCUGGGGCAUUCCCGGCCGCCCACAACUGCGGCCGCCCAUGGAGGCAGGUGCCGCCCUCCCCUCGAGAGCUCGGGUCCAGUCUCAUCCCUUGGAAUCCGAGCCGGCCUCGAGCCUUACUUUGACCAGAAUAAUGCAGCAGAAGCGACAGCGUGCCUGUGCCAAGACUUGAUCUUGAGGGGCCUGGUGGGGCAGGACUUCUAGGAGGGCUGGAUGACCCUCUCACGCUGGAUAUUGACCAAAGGGCAGACAGCAGUCAUUCGAGGAGGUCUACGAAGCCUUGGUAAGGACAGCAGGAAUCUGUGACAUUUGGGCCAGAACUUGCUCCCUCCCAACCCAGCUCCAGGUCGUGAGAGCUCUGCUCCGAGAGGGUGCGGCCGAGAACAUGGGGCUCCCUGUCCCCCAGCUCCCGGUUGUAGGCGGAGGUUCCACACUGGGAAGGACGAGCUGAGAGGAUAAGGUAUACCGUCCCCUGCAACACCUACUUGUGGAUCAGAGGUAUCACUCUGGGUGAAGCAGGCUUCCUCCCCACCCCCAGCCCCCUCAGACCCUGCCCAGAACAAGAGGCGAGACAGAAACACUAGCAGCUCCACGGAGACUGAGCGCGCUGACUUUCUUCGGACAUCAAGUGUGACAUUGUGGAAGACAAUGGAGAUCUUAGUGGUGAGAAAUUAUAAAAAAGCUAAUGGCACAAUGAAACUAAUAGCAACACAUGAAAAGGCAGCCAGCCAGGCGUUUAACAAGGAGAACCAGGGAAACAGACAGCUAAGGUGGACCCUGUUCAGAUUGCAACUGUCCCCCGGAGUCCAGAGGCUGUGGACAGGCACCAGGCUGCGCCCACUCGGGGGCUACGGCUCCCUGGGGUGUCGGCUUCCUGCAGCUGCUCUAACAAAUUACCACAAACCUGAAGACUUAGAACAACGGAAGUUUAUUCUCUUACAGCUCUGGACACGCAAGCUGUCUUACGGGGCUAAAAUCAAGGUGUUAGCAGGAGUGCUUCCUCCUGGGGUUUCCAGGGGAGAAUUUGUCCCUUGCCUCGUCCAACGUCCAGCACUCCUUGGCUUCUGGCUGCAUCACUCCAGUCUCUGCCUCCGUGGUCACCUCACCUUCUCUUCUUCUGUAACCAAAUCUCUCUCUGCUUCCACCUUAAAAGGAUUACAUAUAGGGCUCGCCUGGGUAAUCCAGAACAAUCUCCCAGUCUCCAGAUUCUUCAUCACACACACAAAGUCCCUUCUGCCCUAUACGGUAACGUUCUCAGCCUUUGGGGAUUAGGACCUGGACUCCUUUGGCAGGUGUUCUCCAGCCUGUGAGACUGGUGGACACAGGGCAGACCUGAAAGCAUUCUCCAUCAAUUGAUCCGUCAGGGAAGGACGGUGCCUCACUGGCUCGGAGAGCGUAAGCACAGCCUUUGCCCGAUCAGUGCUGAAGCCUAAGCUGUGCUGACUCAGAUGUGACUUCUAGGAAUCCAGGCUGAAGCGUAAGAGCUAGGGGGUACUGAGCAGCGACAUCAGGAGCCACACCAUGUUGGGGAAUAGACCUCACAGAACUGGUCCAGACCAGCUGCUAGACUAACAAACUAACAGAUCAGCAAGAGCAACCAGCCCAAGGUGGGACUGGCUAAUCACAACCCAGAGUCGCUACAAGAGGUCAUCUAGAAUGCCAAGUUUUCAACAAAAAAUUAUGAGACAUGCAAAGACACAGGAUAGUGUGACAGCUGCACAGGAGAGGUAGGCUACACCAUCCGCCUUCGAAGGGGCCCAGAUUUGGGACUUAGCAGACAAAGACAUCAAAGCUUUGCUUAUGCAAGGCCCACGAACAGAGUGGCUGUGGUGGGUCUGCAUGGGUCCCCCUGCCACUGCUGCACCCAGCCUGUGGCAGCAGACACCCGUGACCUCAGAUCCCUGCCGCCUGGUGUGGGCAGUGACUUGUGCUUCCCUGAGCUGAACCCUGUUCUGGACACAGCUUUGCCCUCCCUGCCUGGAGUUCCUCUCAGCACCUCCACCCCAGACUUGCCAAAUACCUUCCUUCCUGUUGGACAUGCGGCACACCGAGGACCCAUCUUAGAGCUGAUGAACUGUGGCAGUGAGCUCACGCCCCUGGGGCUCUCUGGUCUUCCCAAGUUCCCUGUCAGCCUAAUAGAACGGUGACACCAUCUGGUGAAGGCCCUCCCACGUGCCAGUCCCCUGGAGGCCCCUCUCGGGGUGGGACGCUGCUGAGAUGUGCCGCUACCACUCUAGUGUGUUGGGGCUCCGGGGACAGGUUCACUGUGAAGUCACAAGGCCCAGCUCAGGCCUCUCAUUGACACAACCCCUUCCAGGGCAGGACCCUGACAAAGUGUUCAUAUGGUUGCAUAUUUUGUAAAAUUUGCAAAUGUGAAAUAAUUUAAUCACAAUCAGUUAAGGCUUUCUCUUCCCAUUGCAACCAGCUUUCGGUCACUUCCUCCCCUGCUGCCUGGAGCUGGAGGGGGCGCUGUGGGGUUCACUCCGGGAGGUUGAGUUGGGGGCACAUUUGGUUUGAGUUUCGCAGGGACAGUCACUUCCUGGUAGAGUUAAGCUACUGCUGUCAUUCUGGUAUAGAAGGGGCUUCCAGGAACACAGCCCCCUCCCUCUGUGCUGCAUGUCAUGACACGUCAGGCUGAUGGAAUUGGCUAAUGAGUGGUGUCCACUCAAAAAAUAUCUAAGUCGCAAACAAGAACACCCAAAAGGCCCCGAAAUCUUACGGCUCACAUGUAAAAGAAAUUUGAUAGAAGUUUCCUCAAAUUAACAAUUCUAAACAUUUAUACAAUAUUAUCCAAAGGAGCUGUUACUGAAAGUAACUUUUCCAAGCUAUAAAUAAAAAUAAACUUUGAUCAAACGCAUCAGAGGACACACCGAAUUGUGUUCUUUCUCUAUGUAGAUGGUGACAUCAUAAAAGUGUUGUCGUCUCAAGAGGCCAUCAGAGUAUGCACCCAAAAAGCUUAAGGGAAGCAAGUUAGGCAAACAUAUCAGAAGUUAAUUCACGACACUAUGAGGGCCCUUUGUGAAGAGUUAACCCAGCCGGCCUGAGACUGCUCUCCGUCAGAGGCAUGCUUGCAAGUCGGCUGGUGUCUGGGCACGUACAUUUCCAGAGGAUUGCUCCCAUCCCCUGAGAGGAGUGGCGACCGGGCCUAAACUGUUCACACAAACAAACAGGCUGUAUGCUGAACUCCUGCUUUCCUUCUGGGAGUCUGGAAUUGGGUACAUGCCAGGCAGAGGGCGACCAGCCCCCACGAAAACCCUGGAUACUGAGUCUCCGGUGAGCCUCCCUGGUGGACAACACUUCACACACGCUUUCACCCCUUGUUGCUGGGGCAAUGGAGUGUGUCCUGUCCCAUUUCUCUGGCAGAGGACUCGGGAACUUUGCACCUGACUUCCUCUGACUUCAUCCCAGUUGCCUUUUCAUUUGCUGAUUUUGAUUAAUAUCCUUUCUCUGUAAUAAAUCUUAGUCGUGAGUAGGACUAUAUGUGCUGAAUUUUAUGAAUCCUUCUAGCAAAUCACUGAACCCAGGAGUGGUCUUGGGGAUCCCCAGCACAGCUCCCAAAUUUCUAUAAGCUUUAAACACCCAAGACCUGGAUCCACCCACGUGUGCGAGCUACGGCUAGAAUACAAGGGUCAGAGAACCAAGGGGGCAGGAAUGGCCCAUAGCAUAAGUCGUAGAUGCCGUCAGGUUGGAGGUCCUAGUUCCCAGGGGUGGGGAACAUUCCACCAGGGGAGACAGUAAGCGUUCCAAUGAUCUGGAAGAAACAGCCACGGCCAGGCCACUUUGGGCUCCUUAGGCCAAGGAACAUUAUCCUGAUUAUCUUGAGCUCUAGGGCCAAUACUGCACAACAGGGGC